rnacentral:Y_RNA from 1 species
GGCUGGUCCAAUGGUAGUGGGUUGUCAGAACUUAUCAACAUUAGUGUCACUAAAGUUGGUAUACAACCCCCCACUGCUAAAUUUGACUGGCUUUAA